AGGCUCUAUCCCUGAAUUACCGGCGCUGUCUUGUCACGAAAUAAAGGCAAGUGAAGGUAAACACAUCAUAAGCGGCAAGUAUUGGCUGGAUCCAACUUGUAAAGGAAAGGCAAAACUGAUUCACUGUGAUAUGGUUCACGAAGAUAUGGAUGAAUGUAAAUAUAACAUCAGUAACUGCGAUGUGAAUGCAAACUGUACCAACACGUAUGGUUCUUACAAAUGCAUAUGUAAAGUGGGAUACACCGGCGAUGGACACUCAUGUUCAGAUAUUGACGAGUGUAAAGGAAAUCACUCUUGUCACGUGAAUGCUACCUGCACGAACACCAACGGAU